GCUCAAGCACUACUAAGACAGCAUCCGCCAGAAAAUUACGGGCGAAAGCCUAAAACUCAAAAGACUUGACGGUGUCCCAAUCCCCCUAGAGGAGCCUGUUCCAUAAUCGACAACCCCCGAUAUACCUAACCACUCCUAGACCAAUCAGCCUAUAUACCGCCGUCGAACAGCCUACCUUUAAAAGACCACAAGUAGGCCAAAUAGUAAACACUAACAAGUCAGGUCAAGGUGUAGCUUAUGGGGUGGAGGAAAUGGGCUACAUUAUUUACUAUAAAUUAUACGAACUACCUCACCAUGAAAAAGAUAAUGAAGGCGGAUUUAGCAGUAAUUUAAACAAGAAUAUUUAAAUUAACACCGGCCCUGGGACAUGU
rnacentral:rRNA from 1 species